AGUUAACAAAAUAUUUAUGAGUAGGGUCGGGCAUCGUUUGGAUUUUAACGAUUCUGAUUCCUAAUGCAAUUCUUCCUUUAGAUCCCGGUUCUUAUGGAUUCUCGAUGCCGAUUCUUUGAGCGGUGGAGUUGAAACAGGUCACAUGCCUAAAAAGAGGAAUGUUUUGUUUUGAUUCAAUGGUGGUUUGCAGUUUUACAGGGCUUUGUCACUGUAAAACGAAAGCCACACUAGAGCGCCGCUUACUGUGCUCCAUGGCUGCAACACAACAAGCGUCUGGCCGCUACGGAAAC